UGGAGGGCAAGUCUGGUGCCAGCAGCCGCGGUAAUUCCAGCUCCAAUAGCGUAUAUUAAAGUUGUUGCAGUUAAAAAGCUCGUAGUUGAAUUUCGGAAUCCAUACUUCGGUCGUGCCUCCGGUAUGUACUGGUGUUAUUGAUUUCUCCUUUCUGAUGAGCCAUGAUGUCAUUAAUUUGGUGUUGUGGGGAGUCAGGACUGUUACUUUGAAAAAAUUAGAGUGUUUAAAGCAGGCUUACGCUUGAAUACAUUAGCAUGGAAUAAUGAAAUAGGACGUUCGAUCCUAUUUUGUUGGCUUCUAGGAUCAACGUAAUGAUUAAUAGGGAUAGUUGGGGGCAUUAGUAUUCAAUUGUCAGAGGUGAAAUUCUUGGAUUUAUUGAAGACUAACUACUGCGAAAGCAUUUGCCAAGGAUGUUUUCAUUAAUCAAGAACGAAAGUUAGGGGAUCGAAGACGAUCAGAUACCGUCGUAGUCUUAACCAUAAACUAUGCCGACUAGGGAUCGGAUGAUGUUAAUUUUUUAAUGACUCAUUCGGCGCCUUACGGGAAAC
rnacentral:rRNA from 1 species